ACCAUAUCUCCAACCCCAACCCCCAGCCCUACCAGUGCAGCUUUUUAGCAGACUAAUAAAAAAAGUAUCGUCUGGAAAUCCUUGAAGAGAUUCUGGGUCAGGGGGUUGUGGCAUGACGUGGCAUCCAAGCGGCUAAGGAGAAUGAAGCAGAAGGACUGGUUAUUUGAGGCCAGCCAGGGCUACAAGAUCUUUGUAACAUUUCGGGUCCUGAUCUCCCCACACCCUGUGAGCAACUGUCAAACUACGUUAGAGGCCACUCUGAAGACCGACCGACCAGGGACAGUUGCAGUCUGAGAACCUGGAGGUUAAUUCCUCAACACAUAGAGGGAUAUAGUCUUUAAUGAUCACAUUGCUAAUUUUAGUAUUUAAGGCUUACUUGGAAAUAAUCAUAUCCCUUCACAUAUUCAUCUGCUAAUCAUCUAUGUAGAUAAAAAGCUAAGAGAAAAAU
ensembl:antisense Gm43803 predicted gene 43803